rnacentral:lncRNA from 1 species
AAAUUUGGAUAAAAAAAUCAAUCAGGGGCCAGAGCAAUUUAUUUACACAAUUUGUUUAAACAUAUCUUGAAUGAAUAAAAUGCCUGUGUAUCUAUAUCACGAAUGUGCAGUGAAAUGAUUAGAUUGAAUACACUCAUUAUGAAGAUUGUCAAAAGUACUCUUGAUUUUGUGUAACUAACUGGUAAGAUGAAGCCAAACACAUGACAACAUAUUUACGUCUGUGAUGUAAGCUCCAUUGGAGCUUGUAGGCCUAGGAUCUUCUUCAUCAAUGGAUUCCUUUGCUUCUUGGAAGAUAAAUGGUAGCGGAAUGGAGAAGGAAGAGAGAGAGGAGACGCCACUUCAAGGAGAAGAUAAGUCUAGAAGAAGCUCACCACCAUAGGAGGCCAUGGAUAAGAGCUUGGAGGAAGAAGGAGAAGAAUGAAGGAAGAGGGAGAGAAGAGCACGAAAUUUUGUGCUCUAAAUGAGCUUUGAAAUAUGAAGUUUAAUAUUCAAAUGUUCAAAGUUGAAAAAAAAAUGCACACACAUGGCCUCUAUUUAUAGCCUAAGUGUCACACAAAAUUGGAGGGAAAUUCAAAUUUCACUUGAAUUUGAAAUUGAAUUUGUGGAGCCAAACUUUGUAGCCAAAAUUUCACUAAUUAUGAUUAGUGAAUUUUAGUUAUGGUUCAGCCCACUAAUCCAAGAUCAAUUCCAAGAUUCUCCACUAAGUGUGCUUAGGUGUCAUGAGGCAUGAAAAGCAUGAAGAACAUGCACAAAGUGUGACUAUAUGAUGUGACAAUGGGGUGUAGUAAGCAAAUGCUCACCUCCCCCUCUAAAAUUUAAUUGGAUUGGGCUUCUACCAAUUCAAUUAAAUUUAUUUCCAACCACACACAUCAAAUAUCCACUUAGUGCAUGUAAAAUUACAAAACUACCCCUAAUACAAAAACUAGUCUAGGUGCCCUAAUACAAGGGCUGAAAAAUCCUAUAUUUCUAGGGUACCCUACCUACAUUAUGGAGCCCUAAAUACAAGGCCCAAAAAUAAUGAAACCUUAAUCUAAUAUUUACAAAGAUAAGUGGCUCGUACUUAGCCCAUGGGCCCGAAAUCUACCCUAAGGCUCAUAAGAACCCUAGGGCCUUCUCUUGCAUCUCUGGC